GCAGUCGAACGGUAGCACAGAAGAGCUUGCUCUUCGGGUGACGAGUGGCGGACGGGUGAGUAAUGUCUGGGGAUCUGCCCGAUAGAGGGGGAUAACCACUGGAAACGGUGGCUAAUACCGCAUAACGUCGCAAGACCAAAGAGGGGGACCUUCGGGCCUCUCACUAUCGGAUGAACCCAGAUGGGAUUAGCUAGUAGGUGGGGUAACGGCUCACCUAGGCGACGAUCCCUAGCUGGUCUGAGAGGAUGACCAGCCACACUGGAACUGAGACACGGUCCAGACUCCUACGGGAGGCAGCAGUGGGGAAUAUUGCACAAUGGGCGCAAGCCUGAUGCAGCCAUGCCGCGUGUAUGAAGAAGGCCUUCGGGUUGUAAAGUACUUUCAGCGGGGAGGAAGGGAGCGAGGUUAAUAACCUCGUUCAUUGACGUUACCCGCAGAAGAAGCACCGGCUAACUCCGUGCCAGCAGCCGCGGUAAUACGGAGGGUGCAAGCGUUAAUCGGAAUUACUGGGCGUAAAGCGCACGCAGGCGGUCUGCUAAGUCAGAUGUGAAAUCCCCGGGCUUAACCUGGGAACUGCAUUUGAAACUGGCAGGCUAGAGUCUUGUAGAGGGGGGUAGAAUUCCAGGUGUAGCGGUGAAAUGCGUAGAGAUCUGGAGGAAUACCGGUGGCGAAGGCGGCCCCCUGGACAAAGACUGACGCUC
rnacentral:rRNA from 1 species